AUUUAUAUAGUUUAAAAAAAACAUAGUAUUUUCAUUACUAAAUUGGACCUCAAUUUUCCUUUAAAUA
rnacentral:tRNA from 1 species